AUUGAACGCUGGCGGCAGGCCUAACACAUGCAAGUCGAGCGGUAGCACAGAGAGCUUGCUCUCGGGUGACGAGCGGCGGACGGGUGAGUAAUGUCUGGGAAACUGCCUGAUGGAGGGGGAUAACUACUGGAAACGGUAGCUAAUACCGCAUAAUGUCGCAAGACCAAAGUGGGGGACCUUCGGGCCUCAUGCCAUCAGAUGUGCCCAGAUGGGAUUAGCUAGUAGGUGGGGUAACGGCUCACCUAGGCGACGAUCCCUAGCUGGUCUGAGAGGAUGACCAGCCACACUGGAACAGAGACACGGUCCAGACUCCUACGGGAGGCAGCAGUGGGGAAUAUUGCACAAUGGGCGCAAGCCUGAUGCAGCCAUGCCGCGUGUGUGAAGAAGGCCUUCGGGUUGUAAAGCACUUUCAGCGGGGAGGAAGGCGGUGAGGUUAAUAACCUCACCGAUUGACGUUACCCGCAGAAGAAGCACCGGCUAACUCCGUGCCAGCCGCCGCAGUAA
rnacentral:rRNA from 1 species